rnacentral:lncRNA from 1 species
GUCGAGGCUGGCGGCCGAGACGCCCACAGGCUCGUACACGCGCCCCUCUGCAGGCUUCCGCCGACGCCGUGACACUGCCGGGGGCAGGCUGAGAAAACCGGGUCGGAACUCGAAGCUCCCGGGCUGGUGGGGUAAGGCCGCCACCGCAUUCCCGACUCCGCUUCCCUGGCCCCGGCGCUCAUUGGGCAGCUGCGGCGAAGGCGUAACGGUCUCCACCGGGAAGGAGCCCCCGAGUGGGGACAGCGCGGACUGUGCGGGGUGUCCGCGAGCAGACGGGCCCUUCUAUCUGCGUAGCCCGCCAAGCAAGUUCCUCCGACUUGUCCUCGCGGGCAGCCGCCGCACAUCAAAGACGCUGUUUAUUUGGCUUUCCGUAAAGGACAAAUGAACAAAGAAGAAAAGCUGGGGACCGCGGGGGGCGGGGGCGUGGGCAGGAGAAGGGGCAAAGAAAGGGACACUCUCAGUUCCGAGCAAAAUUAAGGUGGGAGGCAACUUUGGGAGCCACCAUUUUAUCGGUCCUAAAUCUUGUGAAGUGAAAACAUUAAAGUGACAAAGUGAUUCUGUUUGUUUUAUAGUAUCUAAUUGGGCUGCUUUGCAGACCUAAUGAGAUUAGAGGGAGGAAUCGUUCACCGCCACUGCAGAAUAAACUGAUACAUUGCUACCAGCCACAGGUUUUGAGGACUGUACAGCUUGUCUCUUUCUUUUGUUGUUAUUCCUCUGUCUUCUCUCUUUCCCCCUCCCGCCAAAUGAUUAUUUGCUAGUAUAUCGUGGGAAAAAAAAAAGAGAGGAGGGGGGGAAAAACCCAGCAGCCCUGGACUAUAAUAUAUAUCUAUUUAUUGUAUGUCUUUCGGUUAAUUCCUGAUCUGAGGAGCGCUGUUUUUCACUCCCAUGCGAAAGUCACCAGCGGGUAGGGCCUGAUUGCUACUUUUCAUGCAUAGUUUUAGACACAAGAGGGCAUUGUGACGUCGCGCCCGGCGGCGCCCAGUCGCAAGCCGAGUCCAGCUGCCCCACGUGGGGGCCCCGCGCUCCCAUUGGCCAGCGCCGGGCGAAGCUGCCACAUUAUUUUGUUACUUUUCAGUCCCUAUUUGGAACUGCUCUCGCGGCAGUUCAGACCUCGUGCUCGUCCCCCUCGCCUGUCUGUGUGUGGUAUCCGCAGGUCCGGGGCACUUUUUUGGUGUGUGUGUGUGUGUGUGUGCGCGCGCUGGGUGUGUGUUGGGGUGGGGGGUGGGGAGUGUCGGGGCGCGGAGAGGAGAGCCGGGCCGAGGCGAAGGAAGGAAGCCGCAGAGCUCCCGGGUCUCGAGCUGCGUCUCCCCUCCAGCGCUCUUCUGCCUGCGCGCUCCGAGGCGGCGGUGGCGGCAGUAGCAGACGGAACAGCAGGCUUUCCUCUCCGAGGGGGGGCGUCGAAGCGCCCGCGCCGGGCUCCCGCCCUCACCCUCCGGCGCUCCUGCGGCCCCAAGCCGCCACCUCGGUGCCUGCCUCCUUCCUCUUCUCGCCGAGAGCCCCCCCUGGGAUCGGACCCGUGCGCCCUGGAUGCUGGGGCUGCCCUGGCGCGCCCCCCUCCUGGCGCGACGCGCUAAGUGAAUCGGAGGGCGCCCGCGCUUGCCCCAAGAGGGGCCCCCAGACCUCGGGACCCCGCGCCGGACCCGCCGGGGAGACGACGAUGUCCGCGCAGCCCCCGGCUCUGACGCGCUCCACGCAGCGGGGGGAAGGCGGCCGGCCGCAGCUCGCGGAGCCCUAGGUGCACAAAGCCCGCGCCCGCCGACGACUUUGCCGCCUGCUCCUCGGCUCUUUGUCUCCGCUUGGUGCGGGCGCCGGACUCUGGGCUUUCGGUGCGAGAUCGGGCUGGGGGGGCCGGGGGCGAGCUCUCGGUUUCCCGGCCGCCCCCCGCUCGGG